rnacentral:tRNA from 1 species
GCCCCUAUGGCUCAGUGGUAGAGCAGCUGUUUUGUAAACAGCAGGUCCUCCGUUCGAAUCGGAGUGGGGGCC